AUUGAACGCUGGCGGCAGGCCUAACACAUGCAAGUCGAGCGGAUGACGGGAGCUUGCUCCUUGAUUCAGCGGCGGACGGGUGAGUAAUGCCUAGGAAUCUGCCUGGUAGUGGGGGACAACGUUUCGAAAGGAACGCUAAUACCGCAUACGUCCUACGGGAGAAAGCAGGGGACCUUCGGGCCUUGCGCUAUCAGAUGAGCCUAGGUCGGAUUAGCUAGUUGGUGGGGUAAUGGCUCACCAAGGCGACGAUCCGUAACUGGUCUGAGAGGAUGAUCAGUCAGACUGGAACUGAUACACGGUCCAGACUCCUACGGGAGGCAGCAAGGGGGAAUAUUGUACAAUGGGCGAAAGCCUGAUCCCGCCAUGCCGCGUGUGUGAAGAAGGUCGUCGGAUUGUAAAGCACUUUAAGUUGGGAGGAAGGGCAGUAAGUUAAUACCUUGCUGUUUUGACGUUACCGACAGAAUAAGCACCGGCUAACUCUGUGCCAGCCGCCGCAGUAAAAC
rnacentral:rRNA from 1 species